rnacentral:tRNA from 1 species
GUCUCUGUAGCUCAGUUGGUUAGAGCGCUUCACCGGAAUCGCAGGGCCGUAGGUUCAAUUCCUACCAGAGGACC